GGCUCAAUAGUUCAGAGGUAGAAUUCUUGCUUUGGGUCACCAAGGUACUUAACUGUAAGAGGUCCCGCGUUCAAUUCGCGGUUGAGCCC